rnacentral:rRNA from 1 species
GACGAACGCUGGCGGCGUGCCUAACACAUGCAAGUCGAGCGGAGACAGUAGCAAUAUUGUCUUAGCGGCGGACGGGUGAGUAACACGUGGGCAACCUGCCUCUAUCCGGGGGAUAACAUCGGGAAACCGGUGCUAAUACCGCAUAACAUCGCGUCACCGCAUGGUGGUGCGAUCAAAGGAGCAAUCCGGAAAGAGAUGGGCCCGCGUCCGAUUAGAUAGUUGGUGGGGUAAUGGCUCACCUAGGCGACGAUCCGUAACUGGUCUGAGAGGAUGAUCAGUCACACUGGAACUGAGACACGGUCCAGACUCCUACGGGAGGCAGCAGUGGGGAAUAUUGGACAAUGGGCGAAAGCCUGAUCCAGCCAUGCCGCGUGUGUGAAGAAGGCCUUCGGAUUGUAAAGCACUUUAAGUUGGGAGGAAGGGUAUUCACCUAAUACGUGGGUACUUUGACGUUACCAACAGAAUAAGCACCGGCUAACUCUGUGCCAGCAGCCGCCGUAACAC